UUCUGGUAAUGCUAGUUUGCACGAAAGGUGCUGGAUGGCUGAAAUGCUCCUUCCUUUGGAUCACCUGGAUUCUUUCGGAUUAAAGGAUGGAAUAAGAGGAGGAGAUGGUGGUGUAGGAAGUAUGGAACAAGACUCUCUUAUUUUGUUCUUCUCAUAAAAGUCUAGAGUCGAAAUCCUAAAACCCCAUCCUAGGACUCACACCCA
rnacentral:lncRNA from 1 species